UACAGAGGGUGCGAGCGUUGUUCGGAAUUAUUGGGCGUAAAGGGCGCGUAGGCGGUGCGGUAAGUCACCUGUGAAAUCUCCUGGCUCAACUGGGAGCUUGCAGGCGAAAACUGCCGUGCUGGAGUGUGGGAGAGGUGAGUGGAAUUCCCGGUGUAGCGGUGAAAUGCGUAGAUAUUGGGGAGGAACACCAGUGGCGAAGGCGGCUCACUGGACCGGUACUGACGCUGAGGCGCGAAAGCGUGGGGGAGCAAACGGG
rnacentral:rRNA from 1 species